AUUGAACGCUGGCGGCAGGCUUAACACAUGCAAGUCGAACGAGUGGCGGACGGGUGAGUAAUGCUUGGGAAUCUAGCUUAUGGAGGGGGAUAACUACGGGAAACUGUAGAUAAUACCGCGUACCAUAGGAUGAGCCCAAGUGGGAUUCGGUAGUUGGUGAGGGAACGGCUCACAAAGCCGACGAUCUCUAGCUGGUCUGAGAGGAUGACCGGCCACACUGGGACGUAGACACGGCCCAGACUCCUACGGGAGGCAGCAGUGGGGAAUCGUGCGCAAUGGGGGAAACCUGACGGAGCCAUGCCGCGUGAGUGAAGAAGGCCUUCGGGUUGUAAAGUUCUUUCGGUAGCGAGGCGUUAACUACAGAAGAAGCACCGGCUAACUACGUGCCAGCAGCCGCGGUAAUAC
rnacentral:rRNA from 1 species